CAAAUUAAGUGUUAAGAAUAUUAUGAGCAUCACGUGGUCAACUAUAUCAGACUCAUUAUCCUGGGGACAUGCUAAACCUUUUUGUACGUGGGGGCUUAUUAUUAUUGUCGGGACCGGUCUAUAUUUCUCUUAUUUGGUGGUCCAAAGGGUACAAAAUCAUUUGGAUAGCUCGGCAAUUUCAGAACGUUAAUUUCCAAGCAUGUUCUUAGAGGAGAAAGCUUCUUGAUUGAUGCUGUUGAACAAUCGGGUCAUCAUCUUAACAGGACCUUGUGGGAAUAAGCUGU